CAGUAGCCGCGGUAACACGGGGGGGGCUAGCGUUGUUCGGAAUUACUGGGCGUAAAGCGCACGUAGGCGGCUUGGUAAGUUAGAGGUGAAAGCCCGGAGCUCAACUCCGGAAUUGCCUUUAAGACUGCCGAGCUAGUAGGUGAGAGAGGUAAGUGGAAUUCCGAGUGUAGAGGUGAAAUUCGUAGAUAUUCGGAAGAACACCAGUGGCGAAGACGGCUUACUGGCUCAUUCUAGACGCUGAGGUGCGAAAGCGUGGGGAGCAAACAGGAUUAGAUACCCCUGUAGUCCCUGUCUCUUAUAC
rnacentral:rRNA from 1 species